rnacentral:rRNA from 1 species
UACGAAGGGGGCUAGCGUUGCUCGGAAUCACUGGGCGUAAAGCGCACGUAGGCGGAUUGCUAAGUCAGGGGUGAAAUCCUGGAGCUCAACUCCAGAACUGCCUUUGAUACUGGCGACCUUGAGUCCGGGAGAGGUGAGUGGAACUGCGAGCGUAGAGGUGAAAUUCGUAGAUAUUCGCAAGAACACCAGUGGCGAAGGCGGCUCACUGGCCCGGUACUGACGCUGAGGUGCGAAAGCGUGGGGA